GAAAUGCGAUAAGUAAUGUGAAUUGCAGAAUUCAGUGAAUCAUCGAAUCUUUGAACGCACAUUGCGCCCGCCAGUAUUCUGGCGGGCAUGCCUGUCCGAGCGUCAUUUCAACCAUCAAGCCCCCGGGCUUGUGUUGGGAACCUGCGGCUGCCCGCAGGCCCUGAAAACCAGUGUCGGGCUCGCUUUCACACCGAGCGUAGUAGCAAUCACCUCGCUCAGGGCGUGCUGCGGGUUCCGGCCGUUAAACAGCCUUACAAAACCCAAGGUUGACCUCGGAUCAGGUAGGAAGACCCGCUGAACUUAAGC
rnacentral:misc_RNA from 1 species